rnacentral:tRNA from 1 species
GGUCUCGUAGUUCAGCUGGUUGAACGUACGCAGUACAAAAGCGUAGGCGGUGUCCAUGCGUGGAUUCGAAUCCCACCGAGGCCA